AACUUUUAUUUGAAAAUUUUAAAUAAACCAAACAUAUUAGAACCUCAAGGAAAUAUUUGUUGAACUUAGUCUAAUACUCCAAAUAUUCAAAGUGGAACCUUUGCUUCAGACAGAAGGCACUGCUCAAGCAAUUAGAAGAAUAUGAAACUACAAGAUCAGAGGAUAGAAUCUACACCAACUGGAAUAACUCUGGGGAAUAAUUUUACAAUAAUAGAUGCAUUAGUUGGAAAAACUUACGGCAAAAUAUCUCCUGCAUAAAAUAUAGAGCAUGUGGCCAAGUUAAACUUGAGGAGAAAAGAUAUUUGUAUCCCAAAGUAAAUCAUCAACAUUCUCGCACAUUUUAUCACAAAUCCUCGAGUGGUCAGAGGAGCCCUUAGGAAGAUCUCUGUUGCUUGGAAGUGACCAGUGGAUUUGAAUCUGUCUUCGGAUCAGGGGAGGAGUUAAGCAAGCAGAGGAAAGCUAAACAUGAAGUAUCGCUUGCUUUAUGAUGUCAUAGGAGAUAACAGCUAACCUGGCUAGGAGUUUGGGACAUUGGCUUUCUCCUCUCAACCUCUCAGGAGGAGGAGUUAAUACGAUAAACUCCUGGAUUACAGAACACUCUGUUAAAACUGGAGAUAAAUACAAUUCUGUGACAUUCAGUGGGAGCUAUACUCAGCAGGAGACAGACGACAGCAAUACACAUUUCUCAAUUUCCAAAACUUUCCGUGUAAUUAACUGACAUGAAUACAGUGGCAUCUUCCAUUAUUCCCUUCUCGAAAUUCCAAACCUGUGGUCCUUAAACAGCACCAUUUUGACAAGGCUGGAUUUAAAAACUGAUUUAAU